UAGGGAAUCUUCCGCAAUGGGCGAAAGCCUGACGGAGCAACGCCGCGUGAGUGAUGAAGGUCUUCGGAUCGUAAAACUCUGUUAUUAGGGAAGAAUAAAUGUGUAAGUAACUAUGCACGUCUUGACGGUACCUAAUCAGAAAGCCACGGCUAACUACGUGCCAGCAGCCGCGGUAAUACGUAGGUGGCAAGCGUUAUCCGGAAUUAUUGGGCGUAAAGCGAGCGCAGGCGGUCAAUUAAGUCUGAUGUGAAAGCCCCCGGCUCAACCGGGGAGGGUCAAUGGAAACUGGUUGACUUGAGUGCAGAAGAGGAGGGUGGAAUUCCCUGUGUAGCGGUGAAAUGCGUAGAUAUAUGGAGGAACACCAGUGGCGAAGGCGACUCUCUGGUCUGUAACUGACGCUGAGGCUCGAAAGCGUGGGUAGCAAACAGG
rnacentral:rRNA from 1 species